AAGUUCCCUCGGGAAACACCACGGAGCCACUAUCGGAGUCUACAAAUGACUCUUUAUCACUCUGAGGAAAGUCCCUGGACUCGUGGCAGAAAGUGCCGUAGCUUUUGGCUAUCAGCCUCCGUCGUCUUCGCGAAUUUCAGGAGAGGAAGUUUCGGCCGAUCCUUCGUGAUGGACGUGAGAGUGUUCGUCAAAGUAAAGUAAUGUGUGUUGAAACGUUUCUGCUCUUCUGAGAAGAAUCAGCAACGUUUGAACCGAACAGGGCUUAUCACACGAGGAAACU
rnacentral:RNase_MRP_RNA from 2 species